GUAAACUUCCUUUCUUUUUCUUCUUGUAGCAGCCACACCUCUCAACCCUAACCCUUUUUUCCCAAAAAUUUAAUCUUUUGAUCCUUCACUCAUCUCCUUACAUAGUUCCGAAAUUUGCAAGCUUAUUACAUCUUUGGGUUCUUCCAAGCACGAGAAGGUGACGGAAAAAAAGGGACAACACUACGCGUUUCUUUGGUCUUUCUAUUUGAUCUCUUUAAGGUUCUGUAGAAAAUACUGUGGUUGACCUUCCUAACAGCGGUAGAAGUCAGUGAUUGCGUUAUUUAGAUACCCAGUAGUGGAGUAACCGAUUUCCUGGAAUUCGCUGACACACCCAGGAACUUGAUUAUCUUUUUGGUAGGUCCCCAUUGUGUCUGAUGGAUAUUUUGGUUGUAACUCUAGUAUAAUGUAGCUAUAGGGACCAGGGUAGUACUAGAUUUAGAGGGGACUCCUUUAUUUUGGGAAUGUAAAUGACUCUCCUUUAUAGAUAUGAUGAUGAUGCACUUGUGAUGUUUUGAGACACUUGAUGAUUAGUGGUUAUAAUCCACUUUGUUAUUAAA